CCCCCCCCCCAAUCUAAUAAAGCUUCAGUUAUGUGGAGCUAAAAACAUACCUGUCAAUGCUACCCGCGUUACCAAUGUUUGCCUUUCCUUAGUCAUGGUGAGCAUCCCAAGGGAGAUAGAAGCACACCUCAUUAGCAGAAGUAAAACACUAAAAUAACAGCACACAUACAGGUGUCUGCAAGGCUCGGGUCCAUCACUGCUCUGGCUGCCCGCACACGGAAUGGAAACAUCCUCCCCUGCAUUCCCUGAUAUGCAGAGCGAGGAGUACAUGCUACCAGGUGCAUGAGGGUGGGGACAUUGGCAUGUCGACAGGGUCAGAUUUAUAGCUCCCAGCAAUGGAAGGGGGGGCUCUAUUCCGUGCCUGUCUGCCCUGAUGAAUCCCCUUGCUGGGAUCAGUCUGCUGAGACCUGCAGGUCCUGGGCACCGCCCCCAUACCUCAGAGCACGACCUCAGAAAAAAGUUCUCCACGGGUGCCAACGUACACCCCAGGGCUCCACAGCCUCGCCCGACACGCCGCCAAGCGUCAGCGUGUUCGUGGUUAAUUGUCGUGAUGUGCACACGGAUGUGUGGGCGUAAUUAGGAACUCGGAUCCGGAACUAAUGAGAGGGCCCGGGUCUGGAUGACGAGAGCCACAUUGUGGAGCACCGAAUGCAAAACUGCAGGGGAAUAAGCAGACGGAACGUGGAGACGUAUGGUAUCUCGAGGAUGGUGAAUUAGAGGCACAUUGACGGAUGGAGACGCGCGGUACCUCAAAGGAUGGCGGAUUAGAGGCACAUUGUCUGAUGGAAGCAUGCAGUAAUUUGAAGACUGUGGAUUAGAGGCACAUCAGAUGAAGACUUGUAGGACCUCCAGGAUGUCAGAUUUUCAGAUGUUUACAAAAUCUUGCUUGAAAGCUCGUGUGCAGCACUCAGGUUGCGAUCUAGUCUGAUCACCCCAGGCCAGACAUCACCUCUGGCCAAAAUGACAGAUUAUUUACGAGAAUC